GCCCCGCGCGCAGCGCCCUGUCCCGUCCCUCGGUGCGGUCACCGCUGCGGUUCGCGAACCGCCAAGGCCACGGAGGGAGUUAAAACAGCAGCUGUCAUGUUUCUUGAAUUCUCUUUACAUCUUAAGCGCAAACACAGCAGCUCAGUACCUUUUAUCAGCUAAGAAGCGUUAUAAAGCAGGGGGCUGCGCUGCGGUUAGGACACCUAUUCUGUACUGAUGCAAUGAUGGAGACAGUUACAGCAGUAACCUUCACUGGGGACUCUCUGCUUAUGAUUCUGCAAAAUGCAACUGAUAAAGGAAACUGGCCCUGGGAUCACGUGCCUCAUAUUUCAGCAUGAUUAUAUCAUUAUGAAGAACCUGAAAUGGCUUGGGAUCGUGUAUGAAGGAGCUCAGAGGUUCCAAUUAAUGUAUUUGAUGGAAAGUGUGUUAUCACUUCACAUUUUUAGACACAGGUUUGCCAGAAGGGAAGUGUGUGUUAACCUCUUUUAGCAGCUUCGUAAGAUAUCCAUUAUUUUGACUUAAAAAUAUAAAGAUCAGCAAAUAUUUCAUAAA